ACUCCUACGGGAGGCAGCAGUAGGGAAUCUUCCGCAAUGGACGCAAGUCUGACGGAGCAACGCCGCGUGAGUGAAGAAGGGUUUCGGCUCGUAAAACUCUGUUGUUAAGGAAGAACACUUUAGGUAGUAACUGGCCUAGAGAUGACGGUACUUAACCAGAAAGCCACGGCUAACUACGUGCCAGCAGCCGCGGUAAUACGUAGGUGGCAAGCGUUAUCCGGAAUUAUUGGGCGUAAAGCGCGCGUAGGCGGUAGAAUAAGUCUGAUGUGAAAGCCCCCGGCUCAACCGGGAGGUCAUUGGAACUGUUUUACUUGAGUGUCAGAAGAGGAGA
rnacentral:rRNA from 1 species